AACGAACGCUGGCGGCAGGCCUAACACAUGCAAGUCGAGCGGAACCUUCGGGGUUAGCGGCGGACGGGGGAGUAACGCGGGGGAAUAAGCCCUUGUCUACGGAAUACUCCUGGGUAACUGGGGGUAAUACCGUAGAGGCCCUUAGGGGGUAGGAUUCGGCGGGGGAGGAUGGGCUCGCGUUGGUUUAGGUGGUUGGUGGGGUAGUGGCCUACCAAGGCGGUGUUGGGUAGCUGGUUGGAGAGGAUGAUCGGCCACAUUGGGACUGAGAUACGGCCCAGACGCCUACGGGAGGCAGCAGUGGGGAAUAGUGCACAAUGGGCGGAAGCCUGAUGCAGCAACGCCGCGUGCGGGAUGACGGCCUUCGGGUUGUAAACCGCUUUCGCCUGUGACGAAGCGUGAGUGACGGUAAUGGGUAAAGAAGCACCGGCUAACUACGUG
rnacentral:rRNA from 1 species